GGGCUCGCACAAGUGGUGGAGCAUGCGGUUUAAUUCGAUGCUACGCGAAAAACCUUACCAACCCUUGACAUGGUAGUCGCGGAUCACAGAGAUGAGAUCCUUCAGUUCGGCUGGACUACACACAGGUGUUGCAUGGCUGUCGUCAGCUCGUGUCGUGAGAUGUUGGGUUAAGUCCCGCAACGAGCGAAACCCUCAUCCUUAUUUGCCAGCGGUUCGGCCGGGGACUAUAAGGAAACUGCCGGUGAUAAGCCGGAGGAAGGUGGGGAUGAUGUCAAGUCAUCAUGGCCCUUAUGGGUUGGGCUACACGCGUGCUACAAUGGUAUCUACAGAGGGAAGCAAUAUGGCGACAUGGAGCAAAUCCUCAAAAGUUAUCUCAGUUCGGAUUGUACUCUGUAACUCGAGUGCAUG
rnacentral:rRNA from 1 species